UGGCGGCGUGCCUAACACAUGCAAGUCGAGCGAGGAGAUCCUUCGGGAUGAUCCUAGCGGCGGACGGGUGAGUAACACGUGGGCAACCUGCCUCAUAGAGAGGAAUAGCCUUCCGAAAGGGAGAUUAAUACCUCAUAACAUUGCAGUUUCGCAUGGAACAGCAAUUAAAGGAGCAAUCCGCUAUGAGAUGGGCCCGCGGCGCAUUAGCUAGUUGGUGAGGUAACGGCUCACCAAGGCGACGAUGCGUAGCCGACCUGAGAGGGUGAUCGGCCACAUUGGGACUGAGACACGGCCCAGACUCCUACGGGAGGCAGCAGUGGGGAAUAUUGCACAAUGGGGGAAACCCUGAUGCAGCAACGCCGCGUGAGUGAUGACGGCCUUCGGGUUGUAAAGCUCUGUCUUCAGGGACGAUAAUGACGGUACCUGAGGAGGAAGCCACGGCUAACUACGUGCCAGCCGCCGC
rnacentral:rRNA from 1 species